rnacentral:lncRNA from 1 species
GAUCUUAAAAACUAAGUGUAACCAAAUUCAAGGCAUAACAAGCUGAACCAAACAUCUCCACUCCAUUGCCAAGUACAAACAGACUGUCGUAUGUACGAAUCUCAUCUCUCCCUCCUAAAAAAAUGUGGAAAUCGUGGUACUGGUAGCACAAAAAAUGCAUGUUUGAUCGCACUAAGCCUAUGAGUGACUCUAGUGAUUGCUAGCAACCACUGAUAUUACCCUAAAAAAUCUCUUCCAAGCAAUCUGUUAAACUUGCAUAGAGAAGAACCGUCUUUUCAAUGACGUGCUCAAACUAAUACAUAAUUCAGUUUGCAUGCAUUCACUAAAAUUGAAUUGUCUAACGCAUGCACAUUCUCACUGGUGCCGCUUAUAGAGAAGCUAAAUACAUAAUUUAUUAUCCAGACUAAUUUGUUGCAAUCAAUAUUUUGGUUAAUAGUCCCCAAAUCUGGCUGGAGCCAGCAUCAUAGAUAUGUCUAGAUUGUGUAAACACUCACUGCCAGGAAAAAAAUGUAAACACCUCUCCUCCGCCUUGACAUCUGUUGUGGUCUCCACCACCAUGGCAUUGGGUCGUCGUUAGUGUGGCGGAGGAUGAACUCCAAGCCAUUAAAAACAUAUGAUGCAAAAGCAAAGUACUCCAUCCAUUUGCCUAAACUGGAGCUGUAUGAAAAUUCUUGUAGUUCUUAAGUAUUUCACAAAUCUCGGCAGGAAGUAACCAUCAAUGUUGAGACUCCUUCAAUAUCUGCACCAUCUCUGCUCAUAAGUAAUUGAAAUAUAAAAUUAAAUUCAAUAUAAUAAAAACUGAGUGACCUAAACGUGGAUUUUGAAACAUUCGAAUGGAAAUGUCAUGAGGAUUGCUUUCCCAAUCUUCAGAAACUGAAACAUGCAUCAUCAUCAAAAUUCAGUUACAGAGUUCAGUUUCAUAUUUCAGGUUCUCCCAGAAAACAUGAUAAGGCAGAGGCUUCAAUCUAAAUCCCUAAGUGACUAAUUUGAAGUGUGGAGUACUAAGCAUUCCAGCUGUGUGAAACUAAAUUCAAUCCAAACCGAAAUACAGAAGAACUACAUAAGGUUCAUCUUGGCAUAGAUAAACCACAACUUUUAGAAGUGCAAGGCAUUGGUAAUUCAUCUCCAGACCAUCGAAAACCCAAAGUAAGUUGUGAAAUAUUUCCAAACAUCUAGAGCAAAAUUGUCCGAGUUUCUGGCGCAUUAUCCACUGAAUUACCUGACAAUUCCAACAAUUGCAUCCAGUAGUAGCAGCCACUCAAAAUCUCUCCCAAAUACAUCCUCGUGCAGAAAUAAUCCCUAGUGCGUAGCUCAAAUCAGCAUGAAACUACAUGAGGAUCCAAUUCCAACCAAAGCAAUAUAAUCAAGGGUAGCAAACUAAUGGGGAAGGGAGACCGUGGAGAUGCAGAGAGCCCAAGGCACGAUGCGCACCUUGGCCUUCCAAUAUAAUCAAUACUCCCUGCCGCCUCCGCUCCAUGGCUCGGCCACUCAUCGCAAGUGGUGGAGGAAGAUGCCCUCGAUGGUUGGCCCGUCCUGGCUGUGCAGGCGGCGACGGAUCGGGAGUGGUCCAACCUGUGAGGGCGCUGCUACUCCUUUCCGGUGGGUUGUGGAUCCCAGCGGCAUCAAGGUAGGAGGAGAGAUGUGCACAACAGCGUCACCCGUGAUGAUACAGGAAUGGCGGACCAGGUUGAGGCCCUCAUCAAACUCGUGAUCUGAGUCAGAGUACAAGCCCAUUGAAGCAGCGCCGAUGGCGUUGGCAGAGUGGAGCUAGCAGCUUGUAGGGGAGUGGAGAAGCUUUGUCCGCGGCCAUGGGGCAGAUGGGCGGCGACGAUUUUUCUUGGGAGACCCGGAGGGAGACGGAGAAUACUGGAUUGGGGCGAGGGGCUUGGGAGGAUGGAAACGUGCGACGUG